UAAGGAAUAUUGGACAAUGGACGCAAGUCUGAUCCAGCCAUGCCGCGUGAAGGAUGAAUGCCCUCUGGGUUGUAAACUUCUUUUACAGGGGAAGAAAGUUAUCUUUUUUAGGAUAUUUGACGGUACCCUAUGAAUAAGCACCGGCUAACUCCGUGCCAGCAGCCGCGGUAAUACGGAGGGUGCAAGCGUUAUCCGGAUUCACUGGGUUUAAAGGGUGCGUAGGCGGGUAUGUAAGUCAGUGGUGAAAUACCGGAGCUUAACUUCGGAACUGCCAUUGAUACUAUAUAUCUUGAAUAUUGUGGAGGUAAGCGGAAUAUGUCAUGUAGCGGUGAAAUGCUUAGAGAUGACAUAGAACACCGAUUGCGAAGGCAGCUUGCUACGCAAAUAUUGACGCUGAGGCACGAAAGCGUGGGGAUCAAACAGGAUUAGAUACCCUGGUAGUCCACGCCCUAAACGAUGAUUACUCGACAUUAGCGAUACACAGUUAGUGCCUGAGCGAAAGCAUUAAGUAAUCCACCUGGGAAGUACGACCGCAAGGUUG
rnacentral:rRNA from 1 species